rnacentral:rRNA from 1 species
UACGUAGGGGGCAAGCGUUGUCCGGAAUCAUUGGGCGUAAAGAGCGCGUAGGCGGCCCAGUAAGUCCGCUCUGAAAGUCAGGGGCUCAACCCCUGGAUGCGGGUGGAUACUGCUGGGCUAGAGUCCGGAAGAGGUGAGUGGAAUUCCUGGUGUAGCGGUGAAAUGCGCAGAUAUCAGGAGGAACACCGAUGGCGAAGGCAGCUCACUGGGACGGUACUGACGCUGAGAAGCGAAAGCAUGGGGAGCGAACAGG